GACGAACGCUGGCGGCGUGCUUAACACAUGCAAGUCGAACGAUGAAGCGGUGCUUGCACCGUGGAUUAGUGGCGAACGGGUGAGUAAUACGUGAGUGACCUACCUUUGACUCUGGGAUAAGCCUGGGAAACUGGGUCUAAUACCGGAUACGACCAAUCUCUGCAUGGGGUGUUGGUGGAAAGCGUUAUGGAGUGGUUUUAGAUGGGCUCACGGCCUAUCAGCUUGUUGGUGAGGUAAUGGCUUACCAAGGCGACGACGGGUAGCCGGCCUGAGAGGGUGACCGGCCACACUGGGACUGAGACACGGCCCAGACUCCUACGGGAGGCAGCAGUGGGGAAUAUUGCACAAUGGGCGCAAGCCUGAUGCAGCGACGCCGCGUGAGGGAUGACGGCCUUCGGGUUGUAAACCUCUGUUAGCAUCGAAGAAGCGAAAGUGACGGUAGGUGCAGAGAAAGCGCCGGCUAACUACGUGCCAGCAGCCGCGGUAAUACGUAGGGCGCGAGCGUUGUCCGGAAUUAUUGGGCGUAAAGAGCUUGUAGGCGGUUGGUCGCGUCUGCUGUGAAGGCCGGGGCUUAACUCCGGUUUUGCAGUGGGUACGGGCUAACUAGAGUGCAGUAGGGGAGACUGGAAUUCCUGGUGUAGCGGUGGAAUGCACAGAUAUCAGGAGGAACACCGAUGGCGAAGGCAGGUCUCUGGGCUGUAACUGACGCUGAGAAGCGAAAGCAUGGGGAGCGAACAGGAUUAGAUACCCUGGUAGUCCAUGCCGUAAACGUUGGGCACUAGGUGUGGGGGACAUUCCACGUUUUCCGCGCCGUAGCUAACGCAUUAAGUGCCCCGCCUGGGGAGUACGGCCGCAAGGCUAAAACUCAAAGGAAUUGACGGGGGCCCGCACAAGCGGCGGAGCAUGCGGAUUAAUUCGAUGCAACGCGAAGAACCUUACCAAGGCUUGACAUGCAUUAGAUCGCGUCAGAGAUGGCGUUUCCCUUCGGGGCUGGUGUACAGGUGGUGCAUGGUUGUCGUCAGCUCGUGUCGUGAGAUGUUGGGUUAAGUCCCGCAACGAGCGCAACCCUCGUUCUAUGUUGCCAGCGGUUCGGCCGGGGACUCAUAGGAGACUGCCGGGGUCAACUCGGAGGUAGGUGGGGAUGACGUCAAAUCAUCAUGCCCCUUAUGUCUUGGGCUUCACGCAUGCUACAAUGGCCGGUACAGAGGGUUGCGAUACUGUGAGGUGGAGCUAAUCCCUUAAAGCCGGUCUCAGUUCGGAUUGGGGUCUGCAACUCGACCCCAUGAAGUCGGAGUCGCUAGUAAUCGCAGAUCAGCAACGCUGCGGUGAACACGUUCCCGGGCCU
rnacentral:rRNA from 1 species